CAGGAUGUUCAGCGCAGGCGCGCAUCAUUCUUAUUAAGAAUAAAGGAUACGUCAGAAUUGUGCAGUCGAGACGAUAACUUUAGUGUCCUUUUCUAAUGUAUUACUACUGGUAUGUAAUAGCACGUUCUAAUAUCGAAAGAACAUGUAAUAACAUGCUAGGUAACAUACAUCAAGGUAUUAUCACGUUUGAUAAAGGUUUUAUGUGCUAUUUUUUGUCAAACCGCGUGAUUGAACGUGAUCACUUUUUUUACAUAUCACAUAGAGACGUUGGGUUAGUCUGAGUGGAUGUAUAUAAUUUCGUCAAGAUUACGUCUGAGGCCAGUAACAUCAACAGUGAGGACAAACCCAGCCUGCCUCUCUCCUUCCACACUGAGUUCAAACCUACAGUCACUGGGUCCUGAUUGUGACAGUAAAGCCCAGUUUGCACUGCAGGAUCUAGAGAUGGCAUCAGUGAAGCUGGAAGACUGCAGUCAAACACUGGAGCUGAAUGCCAACAUAAAAGAUGAAGAAGAGGAGGAGAAGAUUGGGACAUCUGUUUCUCAUGGUAUGAGGCCGUUAACAUCAACAGUUAGGACAACCCCAGCCUGUCUCUCUCCUUCCACACUGAGUCCAAACCGACAGUCACUGGGUCCUGUUUGUGACAGUGGAGCCCAGUUUGCACUGCAGGAUCCAGAGAUGGCAUCAGUGAAGCUGGAAGACUGCAGUCAAACACUGGAGCUGAAUGUCAACAUUAAAGAGGAAGAAGAGGAGGAGAAGAUUGGGACAUCGGUUUCUCAUGGUAAGAGCAGGAUCUAUCUAAAUUUGUUGUUCGUUACAACUUCCCACUGUGUAUGAAAAGUUGUGGUAGAACUGUUUCAUGAUGAACUGUUUAAGUACUGCAGUACAUCUCCUCGUGGACUGCACCAGAUUUGCCAGUUCUUACUGUGAGAUGUUGCACCACUCUUUCACCAAGGCACCUGCAAGUUCCCAGACAUUUCU